UGAAGGGUAUUCGAUGAAAGAAAAAACACAUUCGAUUUUGCCCUGCUUCUGUGCAGGGUAAUAAAUUUUCAAGGGUUGUAAUUGUGUCUGCGGAUAAGUGAAGCUAAUUUCGCGUUUGUUCUAUAUUUACGAAGCAUGAUAGCAUUAGAAAAGAUCAAAUAAAUGAUUUGAAGAAUAUCUAUUUAUUGUAGUGCCUUUGUGCAUCUUUGAUCACGUGCAUCCAGUAAAAUUGGCGAAGAAAGAGUUUUACUUGUCAGAAGUAGAACACGAAUACG